rnacentral:tRNA from 1 species
UCCCUGGUAGCCUAGUGAGUUAAGGGUCCAGCAUUGUCACUGCUGUGGCAGCGCAGGUUCGAUUCUUGGCCCAGGAA